rfam:Aedes aegypti strain Liverpool supercont1.352 genomic scaffold, whole genome shotgun sequence.
CAAAUGGUCCUUUUCAGGACCACAAAAAAAAUAGUUCCACCAAGGG